rnacentral:other from 1 species
UGUACCCUGCUGUGUACGUGAAUCACGGUGAAGCUUGAGCCAACACCGUGACAACGGGAGCCUGGACGCUGAUGAGCGGAGUGCAGGUCGCGUCAGAGCGAAGCGCAGAUGCUCACAGGAGGGCACCCACCUGCUGAGGGCAGGUUCAAUGCCUUCCGGGUUCACGGCAUGGC